UACGAAGGGUGCAAGCGUUACUCGGAAUUACUGGGCGUAAAGCGUGCGUAGGUGGUUUGUUAAGUCUGAUGUGAAAGCCCUGGGCUCAACCUGGGAACGGCAUUGGAAACUGGCUUACUAGAGUGCGGUAGAGGGGUGUGGAAUUCCCGGUGUAGCAGUGAAAUGCGUAGAUAUCGAGAGGAACACCUGCGGCGAAGGCGGGUUGCUGGGCUGACACUGACGCUGAGGCGCGAAAGCUAGGGGAGCGAACGGG
rnacentral:rRNA from 1 species